rnacentral:tRNA from 1 species
GGGCCCGUAGCUCAGAAGACAGAGCCGCCGGCUCAUAACCGGAUGGUCGGAGGUUAAAGUCCUCCCGGGCCCA